CAGUGGCUUGGAUACUUGUGUUAAACAAUUUAUUUAUUCAUCUUUUGGUGCUAAAGAUGCGUUUUGUUUUACACGUUUUUCAUAACGCUGUAAUGUCCGACAUAACCUGAACACACCAGAAGCGGCAAAAGGCUUUAGCCUCGUUCCCAGCAACAGGUUGAGGUUGAUCCCUGAAACGUAGCGUCCAACUCUUUCACAGGCCGAUGAAGCCGCUUGGUUCAUCCACCACAAGAGACUUUUAUUUGAAAGUUGCGUCGGUUCUGAACUCAUGUUUGCGCAUUUUUUGCUAUGGUCGCGAUGCUAGAUGGAAGGUGCAACUGCGCAAACAACACCCAACAGCUCGUUGAACCAAUCAGCGGCGCUGUUGGUGUGAUUGACAGGGAGGGGGAGCCAACCAGGUACGAGAGAAAACAGUUUCUGGUGAUCUGCGCGUGAAUCAAAACGACAUCAAGUCAUAAUGAACGGCAAUGUCAAAACCACCGUAUAUUGACUUUAAGUAGAUCGUACAGACCCCAAAACUAUUUUAUAAGUACGAUAAUUAUCGUAUAUCUGGCAACACUAGUCUGGAUGCUUGAUGUCAGACAAUCCGGAAGUUCGCGGAGUGGCUGUGUGAUGGCGGAAAAGCUCCCGUAAAACAGGUUAUCCAUGAUUAAUUAAGCAAAGAAAAGCAGACGGGAAGUUGGUAAACAAAAAAAAUUUAAACAACAAGAAAAUGCCUGCUCAUAUAGACAUGCUGAACUCCAAGACAUCAUGUAGGAAGUGGAGCAGAGCGAAGGCACGCAGCCGUCGUCGUAAAACAAGAGACCCUUAAAUUGUGGUGUCCCGAUCGACAUACUGUAGUUCUCCAGUGACAGUAAACUGGCACAGCCAUGACAGACACCAGCAGGACUUCUCACGAUGGCACGUCUCUACGGUGGAAUUUGCGAAAACAUUCUUAAGAUCUGGGAGGCCUGAAGCUGAUUGAUUAGUAGAGACAGAGCAUGCCAAGCCACAUCAGGGCCCCUGCGCAGGUUAAGUGGUGCUAAGAUUGUUUGAUAUAAUCAGUGAUUAGAGGAUGAGGAAGGUGAGUGUGAACUCUCGGACUCGCUGACCUCCUAAUCACAGAGGGGCUUUCGAUCCAUCCUGCCCCAACAACUUCAAUCAGACACGCCUGAAUCUAUAGAUCCUGGACGAAGAAGGCUUCGGAGCUUUGUAUGUUUGGAUCAGCUAGAAGUGGGAAGCUGCUCCAAAUGCUCCUUCCACAUCACCGUCAUCUGCUGCAGAGACUCAUUUUGGGCCUUUUUCCGAGCUGCAGUCAGCACAUCAGGCCUCCUUCUCCUCCACUGAGACACUCUGAGAAUCCCUGGCAGCUCAUAUAUCAAGGGAGCUCCUCACAGCAGUGCUCCUCUUCCUCUUUCAAUGCACAGGGGCUGUGUUCUAUCACAUCAAAGGAUCUGUAAUUAACACUGCAAACCAUGGGAUGGUCUUUGACUGAGCUCGAUAGCACGGGGGCGCGGGAUCACAGAUAACAUAGAGGUGGAGGAGACGGAUACGCGAGGCCUCCAAUGAGCACGAGGAGGUGUUAUCGUUCCGACACAACCAGACUCAGACCCAAGCACUUUAAAGGCAGAGAUAGUCAGACCCUGGCUGUGAUGCAAGAGUUGCACCCUGUAAACAAAAGGCAAAUAAAGCCGCUGGUUAUUAAAUAAGGUGUGAGCCUGUUUGGCUUCCUCGCGUCGGAGCAGAGCUUAUUCUUUUUAGUCUUCUAAAUUCUGGAAAACACUGUUUUUAUUGUCAAUAAAAAAAAAAUCAAUAUCGCUGUCUUACCGCAAAGCCCGGCCGCUCGAACGCGCAUCCUCCCCUCAAAUUUCCCCGCAGAAUAUCUGUUAGCUUGAUUUUGACAACAGAAUUGGCAAUUCAUUAAAUGUUUUCAUAUACCGAGUAUCAAUUUCACUUUGCAGCAAAGCUCACGCCAGGCAUUAAAAAAAAAUUACACAUUUGGGAUGAACAAGACUAAUCAUGUCUCAGAUUCAUCCAUUUGAGGCCCCUUAAUUUCCCCAUUGUAGAAAACAAGACGUAUAAUGAACAAUUAUACAUAAAGUCAAUUUCAGUGUUGUGCAGAAGACUUAAUUAAAAUUACUAAUGAAAAAAGGACUGCUUACAGUGUGGAAGUUUACUCAUCAGUUUCAAAAUGAGCAAAUGCUUUGUCUUCAUGGACCGUAAUGAAAAUGACCCCGAAUGGCAACAAGCUCCUUUCUUGUUUGUUUACAAACAGUCGUGAUGAAUAAAAUUAGUAACCGUAAACCUGUGAAAGGAUUUUGGCAUAAUUGGCCAAAUGGAGGAAGGAAAGAGGAGCUGAACAUCAAUGCCAUUACGUAAUUGUGGGACCACGUAUCAUAAUAUCAAUUAACAAAUUUAUUCAAACUGCAGAAAUGAAUGUCAUGCUUGUGGCAGCAGCCUAAAAUGGAUAAUUAUGAUGAAACAUCCAAAGGAGAGCAGUCACAGGGAAGACAUGAUAUUCCCUGAAGUGAUCCCCUCCCCUCCCCCGUCUGGCCCGGCGCUCCCCGCCGCAAGGCACACUCGGCACAGUGGCACUGACAGAUUGACAAAUAAGGUUAAUAAGUACUUUCCACCUCUCCUAAAGGCUAAUCAAAUAUUAAUCCUUGAGGUGUGGUCAGCAGAAAAAAAACAACAAACAAUUGGUGGAGGAGAAUUGAUUGAAUUGAUUCAUUCUCAUCAUACUCUGGGCUGGUUAGAGAAGGCAGAUGCCGGUUGUGGACAAUGUGAUGUGCUGGUGAAUUCUUUUCAGGCUGAGAAUGGACAAUAAUUUUGGAUGUAAGCACUUAAAAGUCACUUGCGGUGUUUUAAUCCAUUUCCUCAGUUUGUUGGCUCGUGGGCGCCACGCGCUCGCAGCACUGUGGGCGUGAAUGCGGCUCGUGACCCCACGCCCACGUCCACACACCCACCCGCCCAAAAACAAUAGUUUGUAUGUAAUUCUCUAUUAGGCAUCGUCAACCUUUUACAAGAACUGACACCAAAACUGUCUUUCCAAACCUAAUUUCUAAACAAUAGCAACGGGAGAGUUUUAGUAAAAGGUGGCAAAAAAUUCAACCAUACUUAUAUACACACAGGGACAUGAAUCAAAAGAAGACCCCCUUAAAAAACAUACUAUUGGUGACAAAUUUGAAUUUUACACAAAUCAACCCCUCCCCCCAACCGUUUUCACUAAUCGGAAGCCUCGGGACAUUGCGAGGCCUAGUGGACCAUGUGAGCGGAGCCACACACUCACGUACUGAUAGGGCAAAAUUGGAUCCAGUGAGAAUGCAAAGAAGCUUAUCAAGCAACACUUCCAGGCAGGGCUCUCUCUCUCUCUGUCUCUGUCUCUCUCUCUCUCUCUGCAAGAGCAUAUGUCAACAUCAUUUAUUAGAUGUGGCCAGGGACUAAAUUAUGUAUGAUCACAAAACGAGGAAAAAAGGGAGGGGGGGGGGGUAGGAUCACACGCAGCAGGUGGAUAGAAUAAUAUUUGGAGAGAAUAUGAAAUUAUUAAUAGGGGCCUUAAGGGAGAGUAUUUGUUAACAUUAACCAGUGAGACAUUUGUACAUUAAUGCUUCAAGCCUGUGAUUAAUCUGGACAUUCAGAAUCAUAUAUAAGUUAAGUGAAUGUUGUGUUUACUUUCCUGUUUAGAAAGAAGCAAGCCGUGUUAUUACUGCCUCAUAUACUUCUAUAUUAACAACAAGCAGUAAAAUAAAACCCCUCAAACGGCAUCAAGCAAAUUAUAAAAAUAAAAAAAAAACUGCAAGUGGAGCUUAAAACCCAGUUAACUGCAUUUCCUUCACGGCAGCCAAACAUAUACUAAGUAGCUUUAAUAUUGCCAGAUGAGCAAUCUCUCAAGCAAAAUACUCAACCGAGAUACUACUGUAUGUAAUUUCCCCCCCACAUCUAACAGUAUGGAACAAAUCCCACUAGCAGAGGGAGUUGACAAAUUGCAUUAAAAACACUCAAUUGGGCCAGGAUUGGAUAGAAGCUCAUGUUCUUCCUUAUCCCAUUAAACAUGAAACAGUUUAAUCUGUGAAAGUUGCUGACAUACGGGCGAACGCCGUAUUUCAUUUCUAGGCACAACAACGUGGGCCCUCGAACCGCUGCACGGCGCGACACACGCGUAGACAAGAGCAGAGUUCACGGCAUUAUUUUAAUUCGUCAAUUACAACGUCGUUUAACAGAGCGGCGGCGGCGGCGACGCGUCAUUUGUCUCAGCCCGCUUAAAGUGGGCAAAUAUUAAAGAGACUCGAACUGUCAAAUCAUCCAAGUUUCUUCUUCAGUGGCUUACCCGAUUUGAGCAUGUUCUGCUUCUUUUCAUGACAUGUAAACAGGUUUUGACAUGGGUCUAGUUAAAUGUGUAAGACAUGCUGGAAAAAAAGAGGCAAAGGGAAAUGCCUGUGAAAAAAAAAACACCCAAACCUGUCAACACACAGUACCUGCUUUAAAUCUGUUCCCCAUUUCAGGCAAUCUGUGGGAACCAGGCCUGUGGAGUCUAAUCCUGUUUUCAUCCGUACUCCCCCCCCCAACACCCCCCUCAUCUGUAUCACACUUUCAAUUCCACUUGCUGGUGCCUUUGUGUGAUUUUCAUUUGAUCUCGCUUUUAAAAUUCAAAAUCUAUUCAGGAUUUUUUUAGUUGGAUUCAUGCUGCUGCCGUGAAGCCCCUAUUUAUGUUCUAGAUUUGGACUUGCAAAUCAAGAGUGUGUGAUUUGGGUGGGGGGUGGUGGGGGACGGAAGUCCAAAAUUCCCUGGCAUCACCUUUUAUGAUGCUGUAGGUUUAAAAUGUUAACAAGGGUGUUUUAGCAAGCUGAUUUGUGCAGUAUCAGCCUCUGUCUGCCUGUGUGUGCGAGUGUGGGGGACUCUAUCAUAAUGAUCACAGUAGAACUGGUCUUAUUUACGGACUCUAGUGGCAACGUUCCAUCUGUAAGUCACUGUAAAUCAUAUUUUUGUCAGUAGAGACAGAGAAAAGUAGUUGAAAAAAAACUAAAUGCACAGAUUAAAACAGAAAAGUGUAUCAGAACAUGAGUAGAACACGAGUAGAGCAUCAGUAGAACAUGAUCUGGAGCUUUCUAUAGAUUUGUUAGUGUUUUAGUUUGCAUUCAUUGUUGCUUAGAGCAUAGAUCUUUACAGGCCUUAAGGUGCAGGUGCAUGCGAUGGCGCAUCGCUGCUCUUCAAACAUCCACCAACGCUGAAGUGAACAAAGCAAAUCCGUGUCUGACAUUGUCAUCCAAGCGUUCAACGCUCGCUGCUGGAGGAUCCGCCAAAGCGACGGGAAAGCACCAAUAUAACCACAUACGCUGGAAAUACAGAAUAUUACAGGUGAAAUUAAAGCGGGAGGAAAUAACCUUUUCAUUUCAGCGCUGCCAAAUGUCAGCAGCGAUUGCGUGGAGUUGUUGGGAAGAGGGAACGUCUGCAUCAAAAGCAGAGGGAGCUUAUGGCCACGUAGCCGUAAACACUGUCUCUGCUUCAGCACAGCAAUAAGGGCUGAGGAAAUAUAAAACCAUCGGCAUCCGGCAUGUGCUUUGGAUUGAUUUUCCCUCUAACUUAACUCAGCCAUUAUACUGACACCAAAGGGACAAUAUCAAUAUCAACCAAAUUAAUAACUUCCCCACUGCGAUAGAGCUGAGGCUGUGCAGCAUGUGUGAGUCCAUAAGAAAGAGCCAGGAACAAACUUUUGGAUCCAUCGGAUGCGUUCCUAUGAGCAAUUUAUGCACAGAAAUGCAAUAUUGCGGCAGACGCUCGUCUGCUCUGCAAAUAAACGGCUGCGUUUGUGCUCAGACGCGUGUCUAAAGAGCACGUCUGGUCGGCUACUUCAUAUUUGUGAGAUGUGGACAUUAACAUUGAAGAAAAACAUACAUCGGUGGCUUCCAAAUGUCAGCGCGCAGUAAACAAGUGAUGGUUGUGUGCGUUGGUAUAAGUGAGCCUGUGAUGAUGCUCUUGAAGUGAUGUUUGUCUUGGAAUAAGCAGAUAAUCGUAUUAUGGGAAUAGCAGAUGUCUGCGUACUGUAUCUGUUCACAUCGCAGCCCAGUCGGGGAUUUACACGAGCAUCGUGAACUCAGCUCCGCUCCCUGUGACUAUCUGACGCGAGGCGCUGACAGGGGCUCACUGUUGACACUCCCGUUGAUACGGGCAUUGAGAGGAAGACGGGGAAGUCGCGGGAGAGCGUCUUCCUCUUCGUCGGCCCACGUCGAAGCGUCGCAUCCGCAGCCCAAUGAGCUGCGGCGUCAACCCGUCGUGACAGCGCGGCGUCACGCGUCAUGUUUUUGCCUCUCUCUCGCCGCGUGCCCGACGCCCGGAACAGCUGAAACAUCACAAAUGCAAAAAUUUAAAAAGCCCAAUGUUCCAAAGUUCGGUGCAUAAUGGAUAGAGGGUCAGAGUGUCGCUGUUUUUUUUGUGAUCCUAAUCUGAGAAGUUAUUAUUAGACCAACGCAAACCCUGCUUGCCAUAAAAUAACAGGUGAGGUUAAUGGCAAAUGAUUCACUGCAUUACAAUUUUUGCAUUUCCCUCUCCCUUUUUUUUUACACUAAUGGAUUUUAUUUUACAGGAUAUUCUCUGAAAGCAUACAUAAUUCUGCGUGAAAGCAAAUCUAUUUUUCAUGAAUACAAAGCAAUAUUAAAAGCACAACUUAAGAGACUAUGAAUUCAUAAUUGUGUAUUAUCCAAACAUGAAAAACACAGAAUUAGGAGCGUUUUUCACACCCUCCUAUAAGCAAAACUCCAACUCUCUGGGUUUUGUGACACUAGCAUUAAUGGCAUAACCAUCACAUAUGAUAGCAUUUGUUAGACGCAGUCUUCAUCUACAAACACAGUGAUGCUCAGGUUGCUUCGUCUCCCUCGGCCGGCGUGCGCUUGUCUCCAAAGUGAAGCAUUUGUGAGGAGCUCCAUUUACUGCACUUAGUGAACGCCACACGUUUAUAAUAAGAGCAAAUCCUUGUGUUUGAAAGUUGUGAUUACCCAUGAUUCAUCACAGCCCCGUGACUGUCAUUAAACGUGAUUAAAUUGUUAAAGUGAUUGACAGACCUUGGCAGGAACAUGAUUUCUUUGAGACAAACGGAAAUAAGCGAAUGGCUUUGGAUAAACAGACAACAUUUAUUUGAUUUUGCUGGGAUUUGUUGACAGUAUGAACACAAAUACGCUCCAGUGAUUGCUUUCACUCCCAUUUUACUAUUAACGAUGUGUUAAUAAUGGGACAUGGACUUUCAACAAGCCGCUAAGAUAACCAAACCAUCAACCAGAGACUCUGGUUGAGGCCUCUGAGGAUCCGGAGGGUGCUGAGCGGGCGGGUCUAUCAGUGGACGGACUGUCACACAGUCUGUGACCAACUGUCUUUAACACAUGUGCUCUGCGUGUCCAGCUCCCUCUGCCUCUGUGCCUCUUUUACCUGCAGCACACACAGUAGCGGCAGUGGCGCCGGCGCUUCCCAUGACAUUUGGAGGUUAAUUUGCAUUGGCUUCAUGGUCAUUUAUCGAUGGAGGCCUCAUAAAUUAGCAUUCACCACGCUUUUUUAUUGACAGAAGUGUUUAAUAACCCAUCAAGUCGAGCCAGGAAGUGGGGCCUGUGCUGCGGACAGGUUUCGUGGCCCAGUGUGAUGACGGGACUGAAAUAAUUGGAGUAAAUCACUGUAAGCGUCGCGGCAGGCUCAUGGGUGACGCUGUGGGGGGAUUUGAGCCGCUUGGAUGCAGGAGGACUCGGUCAGCGUGCAGGAGACGGGUGCGGAGGGAGGAAUCAGAGGUUUCCUGUUCUCACCGCAGGUUUCGCUUCACGUUGACAUAUUUACAGCCGGGCCGUCAGCACAUCACGCUGCGUCGGGUUCACGGCGGCUCGUACCGCUCCCUUCCACAUCCUCAUGCCCCAACUUCAUCACAUCUACUAACUUACUCACUAACUAACGCAAAUUAUGUACAUCUCCAUCCUGCAAUUAGUUCCCACAUAAUUUUCUUUCGAUCUUCCUUAUAAUUCCCAGCUUUCUCCUCCACCCUUAUCUCCCCCUUCCACUGUUGCGCUCGCAUGUGUAUAAUUUCACAUCCCCUGAUUCACACGGCGUGUCACCAUGUCAGAGUGAAACAUACUUAUGUUCAAAGGACUCCUAAUGUGGAGUGAUGGGUAGGCCUACAGUAGCCUCAGAGCCGUUGACACACAGCUGUCUUUGCUACAAAUCCUGCAAAUCCAUUAAAAAAAAAAAAAAAAAAACUAAAAA